CCAAUAGCGUAUAUUAAAGUUGCUGCAGUUAAAAAGCUCGUAGUUGAAUUUCGGGACUAAUAUGUCGGUCGUGCCUCGGUACGUACUGGUAUUUUUGGUUUCUCCCUUCUGACGAACCUUGAUGUCAUUAAUUUGGUGUCUUGGGAAAUCAGGACCGUUACUUUGAAAAAAUUAGAGUGUUUAAAGCAGGCUCACGCUUGAAUACAUUAG
rnacentral:rRNA from 1 species